UACGAAGGGGGCUAGCGUUGCUCGGAUUUACUGGGCGUAAAGGGCGCGUAGGCGGACAGUUUAGUCAGAGGUGAAAGCCCGGGGCUCAACCUCGGAAUUGCCUUUGAUACUGGCUGUCUUGAGUACGGGAGAGGUGUGUGGAACUCCGAGUGUAGAGGUGAAAUUCGUAGAUAUUCGGAAGAACACCAGUGGCGAAGGCGACACACUGGCCCGUUACUGACGCUGAGGCGCGAAAGCGAGGGGAGCGAACAGG
rnacentral:rRNA from 1 species